rnacentral:rRNA from 1 species
AGUGGCGAACGGGUGAGUAACGCGUUGGUGACCUGCCCCAAAGCGGGGGAUAACAGCCUGAAAGGGUUGCUAAUACCGCAUAUGGUCUAGAGAGAUUAGAAGCUUUAGAUUAAAGGAGAAAUCCACUUUGGGAGGGGCCUGCGUCCCAUCAGCUAGUUGGUAGGGUAAAAGCCUACCAAGGCGAUGACGGGUAGGGGACCUGAGAGGGUGACCCCCCACAAUGGAACUGAAACACGGUCCAUACACCUACGGGUGGCAGCAGUAGGGAAUAUUGCACCAUGGGCGAAAGCCUGAUGCAGCAACGCCGCGUGAGUGACGAAGGCCCUCGGGUCGUAAAACUCUUUUCAAGAGGAAGAGGAAGGACGGUACUCUUGGAAUAAGCCUCGGCUAACUACGUGCCAGCAGCCGCGGUAACACGUAGGAGGCGAGCGUUAUUCGGAUUUACUGGGCGUAAAGCGCGUGUAGGCGGCUCUAUAAGUUGGAUGUGAAAGCUCCCGGCUUAACUGGGAGAGGACGUUCAAAACUAUAGAGCUUGAGUACGAGAGAGGAAAAUGGAAUUCCGGGUGUAGUGGUGAAAUGCGUAGAUAUCCGGAGGAACACCAGUGGCGAAGGCGAUUUUCUGGCUCGAGACUGACGCUCAGACGCGAAAGCUAGGGUAGCAAACGGGAUUAGAGACCCCGGUAGUCCUAGCUGUAAACGAUGUAGACUUGGCGUUGGUGGAGUAAAAUCCAUCAGUGCCGCAGCAAACGCGAUAAGUCUACCGCCUGGGGACUACGGCCGCAAGGUUAAAACUCAAAGGAAUUGACGGGGCCCCGCACAAGCAGCGGAGCGUGUGGUUUAAUUCGAUGCUACACGAAGAACCUU